GGCGGGGUCAGAAUUAAGGAAUCACUGAUAGGAAGACUGCUCAGCCUAUAGCUGCAUCACUUCUGUCUUGCUGUCUGCCUGAGGUUGGCCGUGCUCCCAGGAAGAAGAAUUUUGCAUUGACGUAGCAUCUCUUGGAGGCAACGUUUCAUUUUGGCUAUUCCAGGAAAUUAAGGAGGACGUAGGAGGUAGCAGGAGACUAGAGUUACUAGAAGAUUGUUGUGUACAUUUUGGCUGAUACAAGUGGCAUGUAGACACAAUAUUUUUGUUCCUAGAAUCAUGGAUUAAGGAUGCUAGCAGCCCGAGCACUGAUUCUGGUGGAAAAGGCAUGCUAAGGAGGCCCUCUUGGUCUUUUCAAGUCUUCAGUGGAUCCAUGUGGUAUAACCCUUGUCUCCAGCGGCGGAUUUAGGGCAGGGCGAGUGGGGCAGCUGCCCCGGGACCCGCGCUUCCUGAUGCCCCGCACAUGCGCCUUGGCACCACGCCGCAUGCGCUGUGUCAAAGGGGGGGCCCCGCGAAAUUUUGCUGCCCGGGGCCCCGCGGUGCUGCCCUGGGCCCCGCGGCACUCUCAUCCUCCCCUGCUUGUCUCCUUUCUCUUCCCUGGAUGGUGCAUUUCAUCAUCAGCUGCCCUGGCCCUGUUUAUAUCCUGGAAUGAUCCUUGCCACUCGGCCAGCAGUUUUGACUUCAAGUUUGGCAGCAACAACAAAUCCGCUCAGUGGGUCAGCCAAUCAGCAUCUAGAUACUGAGAAGUGGGAGGCUGAGAGGUCUCAGCAGAUGUCCCAAAGGAUGGCCCAUGUCAGCACUAGAAGGGAUCAGCCUUAGAGCAAUUCCAGUCCCACUUCUUUGGGACAGCCUCCUACAAAGACAUAAGAGGUAGGUAGGGUGCGUGUGUGUGUCUGUGUACCUCUGUCCUGCCUGGCUUAUGUCAGAGUCUGUGUGUGUGUGUGUGUGUGUGUGUGUGUGUACUUCUGGCUGAAGUCAGGGUCUCUCUGUGAGGUCACCACCACCACACCACUGUCCUCCAAUAGGCUGAGGUCCCGCAACAGGCCUUUUAUGAUGUCACUGCCACACUCAACCUCCUCUGCAAGGCUGAUGUCCUGCCCCCAGCCAGCUCCUUUGGGCACAUCACCUGUUAGGGUUGCCAGGUGUCCGGUUUUGAACUGGACAGUUCAGUAUUUAAGCUUUCUGGUCAGGAAACAAAUCGAGAGAAUAUAAAUGAGAAAAUAUAAAUGUCCAGUAUUUUCUAAAUAAGAUGUAAUGUAGAUUGUCAUAUAAUGUCAAGUGUGUCUGGUAUUUUUGUUGAAACCAUCUGGCAACAACCCUAUAGACUGCUCAGAAUAAAGUGCUCUCAUAUGAGC